rnacentral:rRNA from 1 species
GGAGGGUGCGAGCGUUAAUCGGAAUUACUGGGCGUAAAGGGCGCGUAGGCGGUUAUAUAAGUUGGAUGUGAAAUCCCUGGGCUUAACCUAGGAACUGCAUCCAAGACUGUAUGACUAGAGUGCAGUAGAGGAUAGUGGAAUUUCCGGUGUAGCGGUGAAAUGCGUAGAUAUCGGAAGGAACACCAGUGGCGAAGGCGGCUAUCUGGACUGACACUGACGCUGAGGCGCGAAAGCGUGGGUAGCAAACAGGAUUAGAUACCCUGGUAGUCCACGCUGUAAACGAUGAGAACUAGAUGUUGGUAGGCCUGACCUAUUAGUAUCGAAGCUAACGCGAUAAGUUCUCCGCCUGGGGAGUACGACCGCAAGGUUA